AUCAUCAAUGAUAUCUUUAAAAUAAAUGAGCUCCCAGGGACGGAAUAAUUUUAUGCUCUGAUCCAGCAAAGAACGUAAGCAUAUGCUUAGCUUUUAGCAGGGGAGCAGUGCCACUGAACUCAAUCCCUACCUCCAGUAAGUCAGAUACUCUGGAUCGCAACAAGAAACAAGAAGAGAAGAAGAAGAAGAAGAAGAAGAAGAAGAAGAAGAAGGAAACGGAACCAGCCAGAGCUCUGGCCAAAUACUCUUAGAAGUUUCCUGCCUUCCUCCUGUGGAACCUGACUGGCUUGCAGGCUCCAGACCUGCCUGGUUAUCCUCCCCUGAGAACCUAUGCAAAGAGAAGGGGAAGACUAAGGAGAACAAACCCUUCAUUGCCAGUGAUCAGACAGUGCCUCCCCAUCCUGAAACAGUGCCCUUUGGUCCAGUGAUCUCAAAGCACUUCGCAAACGUCAAUUGAUCGAUCCUCACAAAGCCCCUUGGAGGUUUUUCCAUGGAGCAACAGGGACGAGAGGAAGGCUGGAAAGAGAAAAGCCAUCCGUCGCUCUGUGGUGAGCAGAGCAUUCACGCUGAGGUCCUUCUGGCCGUAUGCUGGCAUGUCCGGGUUAAAGAAACAAUUUCCAAGAUCCCCAUUCCUGCACCGGGAAGGCCCCCUGACAGUCUGGCCUGUUAUAUCACAGAGAAGGCAACAAGAUAGAGACGCCAGCAAAGGAAGCUCAGAUCUCGGUGAACAAAGAAAGCAAUUAAAACAAGAUGCACCACUGCAUGGAUACGCUCCCGGAUUCCAGACACACAUUCCAAUAGCCGCUCAGUUUUAAGGGCUCUCUCCUGACUCUCUUAGCUGUCAUUUGCUAACUGUGAUGCAUGAACUCUCCCAGGACGUCAUUUUUGUUAUAUAAAGCCCUAAAUGGCCUGGGACCUCCCAACGUAUGAGCCUGUGAGUUGAAUGACCAUUGAGAGGGCUCAGCUCCUGGCAGGAUUUGGCCCAAAGACAUGGCAUACUGCCAUAGCUAAGGUCAGAGGGGCACCUCAGCUGAGGUGCUAUGGGAUAAAUAGAGGGCAGCCAGCAGGGCUUUUCCAUUAGGGCCUGUGGACUUUUGAACUUGAUUCCUUCCCAUGUGCAUAACUGCCCGAGUUUAGCAGCCUUCGGGGUGCACAGCAGGGCUCCUCUGUCCAUGAAGAGCUGUUCACAAGCUUAAAGUUAGGCACAUGCGUAGGUAUCUUGUUGAACUGGGGCUGAAAAGAAGAGUUAAGCCAAAGACAAAGACAUUUUCAUUGCACUAAAAACUGAUGGUUGAGGACUGCCUAGUAGAGUUGCCUCAUUCCUGGGUUAUGGUUAUGAGCAAGCGGUUUUGUUUAAAUGGGGAAAGCAAGGGACACAUACCACAAAGCUUCACUCCCCUCUGCAGCACAUCCACUCCUGCUAUGUGGAGUUUAUCACAAAAGAGGAACAUUUUUUGCAGGAGCCAUGUGUUAAGUUACUGGCAGGAUAUCACUGCUUUGAUCAUGCAUGCUCUUAGCCUUCUAAAAGUUAGCUCCCUACCCUCCAGUCCAGUCCCCAUUCCAGUUACCCUUCCUUGCAUUUUCAUAUAUUCAUACUCCUAACAUCCUUCCUAGAGUGGUGAGUCCCAAGACUGCACAUGCUUCUUCUCCAAGACUGGUUUGAGAGCUGGGCCAUUUCCAAGAAUACCUGCCGCAUCCAAACCAGGUGCUAGGAAGAGCUGGAGAAACUGUCUGUAGUGUUCACCAUUCCCCAUGUUGUCAGGAAUAGGGGCAGUCACAGACGAGCAUACACAGAUUUCAUACACCCUGGCCAAUUUGGAUUGUCACCAAAACAGGGGAUUUCUCAGACGCCGUCUACAGCUUUGUCUCACUACAGACUUUCAGAAAGUGCAUGUGCAGUUUCAGACAUCCUCUCUACAGUGCUUUGAAGGGGGCUCAGAUUCAGCCCGGAGUCCAGGCCAAUUCCUUCCAGCAUCAUCCCUGGAAAAAGCCCCUUAUCCUUACAGAGGGCAGCACUGGGAACUGGCUACAGUCUCCCCUCAACUGGAUCUGAGGGGGCAAUAGGGACCCAGCACAGACCCAGAAAAGCAGGUGGUGCUGGCCAUGCAGGGCCACAGGCAGUGUGGCCAAGGGAUGUGUUGACUCAGCUCUUACGCUCAUGCAUAGGUCCCACCAGCACUACUACAGAAGGGGGUAAUGUAUAUGCAAAGCAAACGGGACUUCAGCACAUGCUUUGCUGAAUUAGGGCCUUAGGUCUUGAUCCAAAGCCCACUGAGUCAGUCAUGGUCUUUCCACUGACUUCAGUAGACUUGGGUCAGGCCCUCAGUGCACACCCUGAGCCACCGCCCCCAGCAAAAGGAGCUUAAACCUCAGCAGGGGGGUCCAGGAAGGCAAUAGCACAUGCCCUCCUAUGAGGUGAAUCCUGCAGGGCACAUGUUGGCACUAGCAGGCCGCCAUAACUGCCACCUCUAGGAGGCAGCGUGGGUGAAUCUAGCCCGAAAUGCCUCAGAGAGAAAAAAAAUCACAUCAAUACCUUAUUUCCCUUUUGUCAUAAGAGAAGAGUUCUAACUCUCUCCUCCCAGAGAGCUAUUUCAAGGGCUACUUUGUAAAGAAAGCUCCAUGGUUGUAAUUCUCCCUGGAGCCAC